rnacentral:lncRNA from 1 species
UAAGGUACAAACAAAUGGAAGACAUUUUAGAACUUGACACACACUGCACAAUUCAUCUGGAAGAAAAAGCACAUGGUCACCGCAGGGCCUUUCACAGGGCCGGUGAAGAGGAGGGUGGGCCUGUCCUGGCAGAUGUGAAAAGGCCACAGAGCUGCAGGUGGAGACAGCAGAGCACAGAAGGGGCCCCUACGGCAACUAAGAGGCAGGCAUAUGCCCACCAGGGAAAAGAAAUGGAUUACUCGAUCACGCCCAUUGUUUGGGGAUAGAUCUAGAUAGCUGGCUCUCAAACCUUACACAAAAAUUAAUGCUAGAUUGGUUAUACAAUUACAGGUUAAGCAGUAAUUCAUUAAAACGGUGGUGAGAAUCUGGGCAAAGGCUACCCUUGCAUACAUAAGCCCAGCAAGGGACUGCUCUCUACGCACUCCAGCAAGCCAGGCCCUGAGGAAAGGACACGUGGAUUUCACAACACGAGAAAAACUUCCACGUGCAAACUGCAAACUGCAAGACAGUUAUUUGCACACAAGGCAUAGGAGAAGUUGCUGUGCUUUAGAGAGUUCCCAUCCAUCAGGAAGAGCAAACAUCUCCAAUGAAAAGGGACCAGUGGAGGCCGGGCGCAGUGGCUCACGCCUGUAAUCCCAGCACUUUGGGAGGCUGAGGUGGGUGGAUCACGAGGUCAGGAGUUUGAGACCAGCCUGCCCAACGUGGAGAAACCCCAU